CCAAAUAAUAAUAAUUAAGGAAAAAAAAAAACCUAACACGUUCUCUUUCACAUACGCUCAGAUUUCGAACUCAAUCUCGAUCUCGUCGAUUUCAAACUCAAUCUCGAUCUCGUCGAUUUCUAACUCAAUCUCGCCGAUCGCAAUCUCGAUCUCGCCGAUUUCAAUCUCAAUCUCGCCGAUCGCAAUCUCGAUCUCGAGAUCAAUCUCAAUAUCGCCACCGAUCACGACCUAGAUCUGACUCUUGUUACCGAUCUGUAUGGUUUGUUUUCUUCGAUUGCGCUUUUCAAUCUGCGUCACCCACCGAUCUGCGUUUCCAUAUGAAGAUGUCUUUUUUAACUCAUUUUGAGCAUGUCCAAAUGAAACUUUAAGCCGGCGAGGUGACAGAUUACUAUGCGUAACAUUCCUCUACUUAAUUAUUUACAACAACUCGACCGUGAUGUGAUACCAAGAUAUAUGAACAGUUGGCUUUGUAACUCGACCAACACCAGCUUCUUUAUUAAGAGAUUCUUGGAUUAAAGCCUCUAAGAACUUGGUGUUGGCAAUCAUGGAAACACAAAAUACAGAGAGGAGUUGUAACUCAAACAACCUCAACUUCUUUAAUGAGAGAUUCUUAGAUUAAAGCUUGUAAAUAACUUGGUGUUGGCAAUUUUCAUGAGUGAAUUAUAGAAUACAAAGUGUAGGGUGAUAAUUAACAACAAUAUGUUCUAAAUUAAGGUGGGACCCUUCGAUGUUCAUGCAAAUUGUGGAGAUGGUGUCGUUCUAUUUGACUCCUCCAGCCAACGAGUUCUCACCGAUGAAUGGUGUGUCACCCUCGAGUUACUCCAACAUGGUUCUUCUUAUUACAUGGUUUGUGUUUUUUCUUAUGAUUAAGUAAACAAUGAUGUAGUUACGUUUUAAUGCUAUUAAUUUUUUUUUUCAAUUUUCUUUAACUGUUUCAAGGAGGUUAAGCUGAACCAGCUAGUUUCAAGGAGGUGAAGCUGAAUCAGCUAGGUAUGCGAGAUUCAAAUUAAUAUAUGGUGUAUUUUCUCUAUUGUCAUUCUCUGUUUCUAUUUUUCUCUAUUUAUCUUUGUGUACAACAUGCUAUGCCUAAAGAGGUUUGAUCAGGUAUCUUUAGAUUCUUAUUUUAGUAAAUUACACAUUUGAUUUUACUUUUUAUAUGAUUAAGGUGCUGUCAGGAUCUAGAAGAAGGUGGAGAUCUUGAUACUCUUAUUAUUGGUAAAUAACACAUUUGUUAUAGCUGUCAUAAGAUCAAAAGGAUGAGGUGAGAGUAAUUUAAUAUAUAUUGAAGUUGAACAGAUAAGUUAAUUUUGGAUCAAUAUUCCUUACACUAUGAAUCUAAUGUUUAUUAAUCUUUGAUUGCAGACUUGACUUUAGUAGUUUAAGCUUUAGCCAACAAUGAUCCAAAAGGUUUGAAUCUAUUGGAUUUCACCCUAAUUUAUUAUGCACUUAACUUAUCUUCAUUGUCCAAUGCAAAACAUUUUUAUGACUCUGUCAUGAUGUUUGGUUUUUACAAAUGUGAAGGCAUAUACUUUCAACUAUCUUUUGGAACAACAUGUUGUGGUACUCGUUAUCUAAUAAGCAAUUCUAGGUCCUUUUUUAUCUUUCUAUUUUAUUACUUAAAAAAAGCUUAUUUUAUCAUAACCAUCUGCAAGUAUAUCUCACUGUUAAACAAAGUAAUAUACACAUGUGAUUAUUUAUUUUUAGUAUAGGGUAUUUUUUAACCAAUGAUAUUUUGUAAUGUUAGUGUAAUCAACAAGAUAAUCAGUAUACCAAUUUGUAUUAAAUAUUAAUUAUAUUGCUUAUGUAUACAUGCCUUACAAAAAAAGAAUAUUGCUUGUGUAGAUAUUGUAAGAAUGGCCAUAUAUUAAAUAAUAUUUGAUUGGAUUAUCAAAUGCUGAGAUAAUUGACAUAUAAUAGAUGUUUGUUUCUUUUCCUGUAACUUAAUGGUAAUUGACAUAUCAAUGUCUAUUUUUCAUGUCCUCACUCCAUGACUUUGAUUUAUUGCGAAAGGUAAAGAAUUUUCUUCUCCACAAGAAAAUGUUGAGAAGACGGAGGCAAGGCGGUUUGACUAAUGUGUUUAUUGGGUAUGUUGCCAAUGUUGGAGCCAAUUCUUUCAUUGAUUCGAUCUAUGCAAAAAGCACCUAUUUUGGAAAUCGGAGUUAAUAUAGAACCUGAGUUGUGAUUUCUGAAUUGGAAAUAAAAUAGAAUAUUAUUGUAAUGUAUCAUGUUUUAGUAUUGUUAAAUAUAUUAAAAAAUUGAUUUUAGAAUAUUAUUGUGAUGUUUAAUGUUUCAGUGUUGUUAAAUAUAUUAAAAAAUUAAUUUUUUUGGUUAUUUAAUGACUAGUGUAUUUUUAUUUUAGUAAUAAAGUAAAAAUUAUAUUAUAUUUAAAAAUAAAUUAAUUAAUUUAAAUAAUUAUAAAAAUAUGAAUUAGUCUAAUUAAGAUUUAUUUUAAAA